rnacentral:rRNA from 1 species
CGGCGAGUGAAGCGGCAAAAGCUCAAAUUUGAAAUCUGCGUAAGCCGAGUUGUAAUUUGAAGAUGGCUACUUUGGUAAUGGCUCUUGUCUAUGUUCCUUGGAACAGGACGUCACAGAGGGUGAGAAUCCCGUGCGAUGAGAUGUCCAUUACCGUGUAAAGUGCUUUCGAAGAGUCGAGUUGUUUGGGAAUGCAGCUCUAAGUGGGUGGUAAAUUCCAUCUAAAGCUAAAUAUUGGCGAGAGACCGAUAGCGAACAAGUACAGUGAUGGAAAGAUGAAAAGAACUUUGAAAAGAGAGUGAAAAAGUACGUGAAAUUGUUGAAAGGGAAGGGCUUGAGAUCAGACUUGGUAUUUUGUAUGGCUUGCUUUCGGGCGGGUCCUCUGCAGUUUACUGGGCCAGCAUCGGUUUGGGUGGCAGGAUAAUAGCAUAGGAAUGUGGCUCUACUUCGGUGGAGUGUUAUAGCCUUUGUUGAUACUGCCUGCCUAGACCGAGGACUGCGUCUUUUGACUAGGAUGCUGGCAUAAUGAUCCUAAGCCC